UACGUAGGGGGCUAGCGUUGUCCGGAUUCAUUGGGCGUAAAGCGCGCGUAGGCGGCCCGGUAAGUCGGAUGUGAAAUCUCACGGCUCAACCGUGGAACUGCAUUCGAAACUGUCGGGCUAGAGGCAGGUAGGGGAGAUCGGAAUUCCCGGUGUAGCGGUGAAAUGCGCAGAUAUCGGGAGGAACACCGGUGGCGAAGGCGGAUCUCUGGGCCGAUACUGACGCUGAGGAGCGAAAGCGUGGGGAGCGAACAGG
rnacentral:rRNA from 1 species